UACGUAGGGUGCAAGCGUUGUCCGGAAUUUAUUGGGCGUAAAGAGCUCGUAGGCGGUCUGUCGCGUCGGAUGUGAAAAUCCAGGGCUCAACCCUGGACCUGCAAUUCGAUACGGGCAGACUAGAGUUCGGCAGGGGAGACUGGAAUUCCUGGUGUAGCGGUGAAAUGCGCAGAUAUCAGGAGGAACACCGGUGGCGAAGGCGGGUCUCUGGGCCGAUACUGACGUGAGGAGCGAAAGCGUGGGGGAGCGAAACAGGA
rnacentral:rRNA from 1 species